GCAGACCUGCAAUUGAGGAGCCGGCUUUUCUGGAAGCAGCUGGAAUCCUGUACGUGAUCUGGUUCAUCUUUGGGAAGGAGGGACUUUUCCUCUCUGUCUGGUUUAUCUUUGGCACAGCUUGCCUGAAAGCUGGGGGCGGAUUCCUCCGAGGACCAUUCUGUUCAGGAGGGGGAAGAAGCACAGAGAGGGGUUGCCAUGACGAUGGAAUGAAUCAACCUGUUUACUGCAGUUCCCAGGGACACAGAGACACUGCAGGACCUGGCCACAUCUCAGUUCCCUACGGAGGGAGGACAGGGCUGGGACGCUGGGCGCAGGGCUGUGAGUCCAGUGCCUGCCCACGGAAACCUCUUGGGACCUGGCUUUUCUUCUCCAGCGGACCCAGUAGCCUUGGCACCAUACUGUGAGUCUCUAAGCUGACCGCACUCUCGAGCCUGUGCUGCCCGCGGGGCCUGGCACUAGAGGAGCUCAGGACCGGGCACUUCAGUGUACUGCUGCCUUUUAAACUAAAGUCACUUGAAAAGCAAGAAGGACACAGUGACCUUGCCCGGCUCCCGAUGGCAGGCGCUGAGGCCUGUGGAAAGGGGUGGAGGCGGGGGCAGCUGACCGCAGCCUGCUCAAGGGCCUCUUCUCCUCCUGGGGGACACUGGCCGCACCCCCUUUCAUACAGGCGUGUGGACACUGCCUCACUCCUGGGGGCUCCUGGGGGUGGGCUCCCGCAUACAGCCCAGGGGGUGAGACUCCCGUUCUCCCCCUGUGCAUCCGUCCCACUGCGGUUUAGUUCCUGGGCCCAGCCAGAGACUCAGAGGGUAGAGAGCAAUAGCCAUGCCUCUGCUCUGCCCUCCGCCAUCUACCUACCUUGGGCCCUGCCUCUGCCCUUGGCAGGAAGUGGGGCUUUUAGACACGAUGCCAGACUGCGCCAGACUCUCCUACGGUCACUUGCUGCUCAUUGAAUGAAACCCACCGCCCCCUAGGCCUGUGUGUGCACCCUUUAAUCAGAACCUCCCGCGAGCCCCAGACCCUUUGCACAGGCUGCUCUCUGUCCCUCUCCUCACCUCCAGUGGCUGAGGGACAUGACGUGCUCAGGGCAGUCGUCUGUGAAGCCUCCGCUCUCGGACACUCUGCCCAUUCUUCCUCUGUAAUGCAGUUUUUAUUUUUGUAUUUUACCAAGACACUGUUUGCAAAUAAAAUUUUAAAAUUGUGCUAAAAGGUUUAUAAAAGCCAAAAAAUAAUUAGCUAUUCUCCUAUGGCCAUAUCCCCCGCCCUUUUCCCAGAGGUAACCCCAUCCUCGUAACUAUUUCUCCAACUUGCUGAAUGUCACGUUUCUUUUUCUCACCCCGAUUCCUAAUUUUACUCCUAUCUAUGGAGUCAUCUGCUAUGGUAGAUGAGCCGUUUAGAUUCCUUUUUGAGGCGGGAUCUUACUGUGUAGUUCAGCCUGGCCUUGAACUCACUCUGUAGUCCAGGCCGGCCAGCAACUCUCCUGCGUCAGCCUCCCAAGUGCUGGGGUGAUGCGCUGCACCACCACACCCGCCGGGGGCUGAGAUCCCUUGUGCCCUCACCUCCCCUUCUCCACGCCCUUCCUCCCUCCUCAGCAUGAUCUAUGUCACAAAAUGUCAGUAAUGCAACGUAAACACUACUUUCUGCUCAA